rnacentral:rRNA from 1 species
UUGUUCCAGCAGCUGCGGUUAUACUGGGGGGGAUUUAGAAAUUUUCGGUAAGUAGUUAUAAGUUGUAUUUCUAAUAAGUUUUAUUAUAAUUAUUAGGAAGUGAAAUUCUGAGUUGUUUAGUAAUAAUCUUGUUAUUAGUUUGUUUUAUAAGCUAUAAAAUCUUGGAUCUAAACUAGGAUUAGAUACCCUAUUAUACCAAGAAGAAAUUUUAGGGCUUGAGUAGUAACCAGUUAUGAUCUUGAAACUUAAAGAAUUUGGCGGUAUUCAAGUCUGGUUAGAGGAACCUGCUCUUUAAAACGAUAUGCCACGAAUUAUCUUGCUUUUUUUUGUAUUCAGUUUGUAUACCGCCAUUAUUAAAUAGCGUUUUUAAAUGUCUAUUAUAAUAUAUUGUUAUAAAAUAUAUUAGGUCAAGGUGCAGCCAAUGGAAAAGUAGUUGUGGGUUACAUUGUAUUUUAUUUUCGAAUAAAUUUUGGAAGAUAAAUUUUUGAAGUUGGAUUUAAUUGUAAAUUUUUUUUAAUAUGUAAUUUUGAUAAUAGCUCUAGAAUAUGUACACAUUGCCCGUCGCUCUCAUAAACCAAGUUGAGAUAAGUCGUAACAAAGUAGGAAU